UUUAUAUUUUAAGAAUGUGCUAGUCUGAACUCUGCUGUAUUGUAUAACACUAAACAUUGUUAAGUUUUUAUUUGCAGCAAAUAUGGUUUCAAUAACAAAUAAUUUCAACAAACAUAUUUUAAACAAGAAUGAACAUAUGUGAUCUCUCUCUAAUACAUUGUUACCACUCAUUUCUAAUGCUAAACAAACAAAAAAAUGUUUACAAAUUUAAGACACUACAAUGUCAUGUAGUGGUAAGGUGAACCUGUUAUUUAUGCAAAUGGCACCAUUUUUUUAAAGUAAUCUCUGAUGACCCUGCUUUAAUUACAAUAUAUUUAGAGGUCAGACUUGUCUAUAAAACAUCUAAUUCAUUGAAUUACAAAACAUUAACUGUGUGAAAAGAUCAACAUCUUGUAGUCAUGUGAUAGGAAUGACAUGCAACAUUAAAGUGAUGGUAAAAAUGGUCGAACUCGUGGUCAUUGCCUAUCUUGUAUUUUAUAAGUACAAUUAAUGUUUAACAUUUAGCUAAUGUACUUAAUGAUUUCUUGAACACUGACCAAAACAAAAUUAUUUCCAUUAACAUAAAGUAUUCUAUUUGGCCGCUGCACAUACAUUUUUCAGUUAUUUUCUGGAGCUCAAUAUCUUCACAUCCAAUAAGGACCUUACUAAAACAGCUUCUUUUUAUGAUGGCAUUAAAAGGUUUUUUUCCUUCAUCAUUUAAGUCCUUGAAGCAGUGUUACUUAUAGAUUAAAAAUAAAUAAAUUUUGUAAUGAAAAAUGUUGUGGCAUAUCUCUUCUGCUCCUAUGGUUAUCUAAAUUAUAUCCUUGUUAGUUCUUAAGUUCUAAAAAUUUAUUCACAAAUUCAUAAAAUGAACCAAAAGUUACACAGCUCUUAACAACCCCCCCCCCCCCCC